AGUGAACGCUGGCGGCGUGCUUAACACAUGCAAGUCGAACGAGAACGGGUUAUAGCUUGCUAUAAUUGUCAGCUAAGUGGCGCACGGGUGAGUAAUGUAUAGGUAAUAUGCCUCUUACUAAGGGAUAACAAAUGGAAACGUUUGCUAAUACCUUAUACUCCUUAUUAACAGAAGUUAAUAAGGGAAAGAUUUAUUGGUAAGAGAUUAGCCUGUAUUGUAUCAGUUAGUUGGUGGGGUAAUGGCUUACCAAGACUAUGACACAUAACUGGUUUGAGAGGAUGAUCAGUCACACUCGGAACUGAGACACGGUCCAGACUCCUACGGGAGGCAGCAGUGGGGAAUAUUGCACAAUGGACGAAAGUCUGAUGCAGCAACGCCGCGUGGAGGAUGACACAUUUCGGUGCGUAAACUCCUUUUAUAUGAGAAGAUAAUGACGGUAUAUAUGAAUAAGC
rnacentral:rRNA from 1 species